UUUUCUCAGAUAUCUUCUAUAAUUGAAAUGAUCAUAAAAGAUGCCCUUCCAAAUAUACCGGAAAUAGAAGAGCCUCCCACCAAUUGUAACGUUGCGCUUGAGUUUGGAACACCUGAAGAAAUUUGAAAGCUUGCCUUUGAAAUUAACGGCAUGUCAGUUUUCGGACCACUCGUUAGUCUGUCAGCAAGUUUCAACAUUCUAUGUAGACUAAACUUCAUUCUUGUGAUUCAAUUAAUUUUUUGUAUUUCAAGUGUGUGGAUACCUGCGCAGCUUGUAUGACUUGUUGUUAGAUUAAGGAGUGCUCCGAAAACUACCAUGUUGUAAAUUUCAAAGGUGCCAGAAAAUUUCCAAUUUUGACUGGUCAAGUUUUUAAAUUUUUUCAGGUAUUACACAGCAACAAAUACUCUCUUUCAAUAAAAUAUUCACAAAAACAAACAAACCAAGUUUUUGGCAAAAGCUGCUGCUGAUCCUGAAAGUAACCCAGCAUCUCCUACAAAGGUGAUCAUUAUAAAAGAUGUCACUCCAAAUAUAUUAGAAACAAAAGAACCCGUUACCAACUGUAAAAUUACAUUGAGCUUGGAACACCUGAAGAAAUUUGAAAGCUUGCCUUUGAAAUUAACGACAUGUCAGUUUUCGGACCACUCGUUAGACUGUCAGCAAGUUUUAACAUUCUGUGUAGACUAAACACCAUUCUUGGGAUUCAAUUUUUUUGUAUUGCAAGUGUGUGGAUAUCUGCACAGCUUGUGUGACUUGUUGUUAGUUUAAGGAGUGCUCCGAAAACUACCAUGUUGUAAAUUUCAAAGGUGCCAGAAAAUUUCCAAAUUUUGACUGGUCUGGUUUUUAAAUUUAUUCAGGUAUUUGGGGCAACAAAUUCUCUAUAUAUAAAAAUAUCCUCAAAAAUAAUUAUAACAAUAAAAUAACAUACCAACUAUUUGGCAAAAGCUGCUGCUAAUCCUGAAAGUUACCCAAUAUUUUCUACAAUUGGAAUGACCUUAAAAGAUGUCCUCCAAAUAUACUGGAAAUAGAAGAGCCUGUCGCCAACUGCAAAAUUACGUUCAGCUUGGAACACCUGAAUAAAUUUGAAAGCUUGCCUUUGAAAUUAACGACAUGUCAGUUUUCGGACCACUCGUUAGACUGUCAGCAAGUUUUAACAUUCUGUGUAGACUAAACACCAUUCUUGGGAUUCAAUUCUUUUUUUUUUUGUAUUGCAAGUGUGUGGAUACCUGCACAGUUUGUGUGACUUGUUGUUAAUUUAAGGAGUGCUCCGAAAACUAUCAUGUUGUAAAUUUCAAAGGUGCCAGAAAAUUUCCAAAUUUUGACUGGUCAGGUUUUUAAAUUUAUUCAGGUAUUUGAGAGCAACAAAUUCUCUAUAUAUAAAAAUGUGCUCAAAAAUAAUUAUAACAAUGAUAUAAUAUACCAUUUGGCAAAAGCUGCUGCUAAUCCUGAAACUUACCCAAUAUCUUCUACUAUUCGAAUGAUCACAAAAGAUGUCCCAUCAAAUGUACCGCAAAUAGAAGAGCCUGCCACCAAUUGCAAAAUUAUUUGAGCUUGGAACACCUGAAGCAAUUUGAAAGCUUGCCUUUGAAAUUAACGACAUGUCAGUUUUCGGACCACUCGUUGGAUUGCCAGCAAGUUUUAACAUUCUGUGUAGACUAAAGACCAUUCUUGUGAUUCAGUUGUAUUGUAAGGGUGUGGAUAUCUGCAGAGCUUGUGAGACUUGUUGUUAGUUUAAGGAGUGCUCCGAAAACUAUCAUGUUGUAAAUUUCAAAGGCGCCAGGAAAUUUUCAAAUUUUUUACUGCCCCAAAUUGUCACAUUGUAAACCUUAUCGUAAAAAUAAUUAAAUAAAUUAUACAGUAUAUUACAAAUACAAAUUCCUUUAUUAUUUUUCAACAGUAAACAC